rnacentral:lncRNA from 1 species
GAAUAUUGAAAUUCUCACCUACAAUGUGAUGCUAUCAAAAGAGAUUGCUGGUGAGACAGCAGCCACUGCUCCCAGGCCCGACAACAGGGGCAGCACCAAAGCUGGUCAGUGUUUCCUCCUUACAGGUCUGAAGGUGCUGCAGAGGAGGGUGCUUCCCAGAGAUCACCCCUGUGACAGACAGAUCGAUUGAAGGACCCCUGAAUGGCUGAAUUGAGAAGAACAAGCAUAUUAGGAGGCCAUACAAUGGGAGCCUCUCAGGCAGACAGACAAAGCCGUGGAAACUGCAGACUUAUUUGUAUGUUCUGGUAAACACCUUUGCUUCAUUUUCCCCGUCUCCGCCUGGACUGAGGGUCACCUCACCUCUCCUGGUGUCCAGAGCCUCCUUCAGGACAGAUGUUGCAAACCUGAGUUCUCACAAACAGCGGGGUCCAGCCCUUCUCAACACUGGAAAGCCCUUGAGCCAUCUUUGAUUUGUGUGUUUUGAUCUAAUUGCACUACUGCUUGCAAUGCUUGUUUUUAGCGGUGAGUGCUGGUUUAAUUUGUUUCUUUCUGGUCUCCCAGCCCCACUCCAGAAUUUUGGCUCCUGGAGAGGAGGGGCCCUGAACUGGCAUUUUCAGUGAAGCAUCCCAGUGCCUUGAAUCCAGUAAGCAGCCAGGUGUCUGUUGGCUUCAUGGUUUAACAACCUACCAUUUGAAGAAUCGCAGAGAUGAAUUAAAAAGAGCCCCGGAGAGGCUCCCCGAUCCAGUUGCACUUCCUGCUUAAGCAAAGUAAAGAAAAACAGGAAUGAAAACAUAACCCAAUGGGUUAGUUCCAUGCUGGCCAUUGAUGAGGUUGCAGCCACCAUCAGAAGAAGGCCAAACGGUUAGAAAGACACGGCGGUGAGGAAGAUGAGCCUCAUUAUCGACUGUCACCUGCAGCCCUGCACAGGUGCUCAGAAUCUAACACUUGAUGGCUGGUUGAGAUUCCCGGAGUCCUAAUUAGGAAUGAGGAGUCAGGCUGGCAGGACCCAGGGAAAGCAAAAAGAGAAGGCAGAGAAGCUCCAAGUCUGCCUGUCUUCGUGAUCCAGAACACGUAGUCCUGCUGCACAAGUAACUCACAAUCUUCCUGUGUCCAGCUGUCAUUAGACCCUUGGCUGAUAGAAAAAUGCAAGUUAGCACACUGCAGCCUCGGUGUCGUCAGUACUGCACGUCACUCUCUCCAGCACACCGCGGCCUCGGCGUCAUCAGCACUGCACGUCGCUCUCUCCAGCACACCGCGGCCUCGGCGUCGUCAGCACUGCACGUCGCUCUCUCCAGCACACCGCGGCCUCAGCGUCAUCAGCACUGCACGUCGCUCUCUCCAGCACACCGCGGCCUCGGCGUCGUCAGCACUGCACGUCGCUCUCUCCAGCACACCGCGGCCUCGGUGUUGUCAGUACUGCACGUCGCUCUCUCCAGCACACAGCACAAGCACCAUCCUAUCAAGUCCCCAGCAAGCCUUUGUCUCCUUGCAGUCAGCUCCUCUCUUGCUGGCCUGCCUGUUGCCUCCUUGCUGUGUAUUUUCCUACUUUCUCUAAUUUGCCUUUUUUUUUUAUUUUUGAGAUGAAAUUUUGCCUCAGCCUCCCAAGUAGCUGGGACUACAGGUGCGUUUCACCACGUCCAUCUAAUUUUUGUAUUUUUCGUAGAGACGGGUUUUCACCAUGUUGGCCAGGAUGGCCUUACCUCAAGGACCUCCUGAUCCGCCUGCCUCGGCCUCCCAAAGUGUUGGGAUUACAGGCAUGAGCCACUGCACCUGGCCUAAAUCUGCCUUUCUUAACCUACAAUUGUCUUUACCCUGAGCCGCUGGCCCCAGAUAGUCGCUGCUCACCCAUGACAAUAUUUCACCACUGAGAUCAUUUAUCCUCAAAAAAAUGAGUAGAAUGGCCACGGAAUUGUGUGCAAAGAAUGAAGGAGCAAAACAGUCUUGGAGUCUUAGGAGCAAAACAUCUGCAUUACUAAUAUCCUCCCAAGUCCACCAAGCCUCAGCUAGGAACGGUUCCCCACUUGUGAAGUGUCUGAUAAGUUCUAGUUUCCUUCCUUCCUUUCUUCCUUCCUUCCUUCCUCUCUCUCUUCUUUCUUUCUCUUUCUCUCUUUCUUUUCUUUCUCUUUACCUUUCUUUCUUUCCUUUCUUUCUAUCUUUCUUCUCUCAAUCUUUCUUUCUCUCUCUCUCUUUUUGACAGUCUCACUCUGUUGUUCAGGCUGGAGUACAGUGGCACAAUCUCAGCUCACUGCAACCUCUGCGUCCCAGGUUCAAGCAAUUCUCCUGCCUCAGCCUCCUGAGUAGCUGGGAUUACAGGCUCUCGCCACUACAUCCAGCUGAUUUUUGUAUUUUUAGUAGAGGUGGGGGUUUCCCCAAGUUGGCCAGGCUGGUCUCGAACUCCUGACCUCAGGUAAUCCGCCCACCUCAGCCUCCCAAAGUGCUUGGAUUACAAGCGUGGACCACCACACCUGGCUCAUUGAUUCAUUUAUUCAUCUGAUAGGUAUUUAUUGAACAUAAAGUGCCACAGACCGGGUGGCUUAAAUGACAGAGAUUUAUUUUCUAACAGUUCUGGAAGCCGGAAGUCUGAGAUCAAGGUGCCGGCAGGACUGCUUCCUCCAAGCCCUCUCUUUUUGGCUUGUAAGAGCUGUCUUCUCUCUGUGUCCUCACAAGGUCGCCCUCCGUGCGUGUCUGUGUCCUCAUCUCCUCUUAUUACGGAGACACCAGUCCUACUGGAUUAGCUCCCAUGCUGGUGACCUCAUUCUACCUUAAUUACCUCCAUAAAUGCCCUAUCUCCAAACACAGUCACAUUAUGACAUCCUGGGGGUUGGACUUCGACGUGUGAGUUUGGGGGGAUGCAACCCAGCCCACAAUAAACAGCAAAUACGAUUAGAGCUUCUCACAGAUACAAAGCCAUUGUCGUGCAGCUCAUGCCCUCCUCGGGGGAAGAAGCCAGUAAGUCACAGAGAUCAGUAACGCAGGUGGGGACGAAGGUGUAGAGGAGAGCCAGGCACGGAGGCCUGUUGGAGUGCGGGUGCUUUGCAAUUUUAGAAGCCGAGGUCUAGGGGAGGCCGGACUUGAAAGACGACGUCUGGGCCAAGUGCAGAGAAAGGUGGCGGAUGAGCUGGAAGGAAGCCUGGGAGAAGGCACUUUGGGCGUAGGGUUUUGAGACACAGCUGUGUUUUGCCCGUGGCACGGGAGCUCUGGGGCCGGCAUGGCCCGUGUGGCCUAGGUGGAGGUGGGAGGGGAGGCGGGAGAAGGGGUGCCCUCGAGAUCUCGGGAGGCACUGGCCACGGAGAGCCCUCGGGCUGUUACUUCUACUAUUGCCUUUUACCAGUUAAAAGCAUCCUCCCAUGCAAAGGCUUGAGAAGGAUACAGUGGACUCUGGGGACUCGGUGGGGAAGGGUGGGAAGAGGGUGAGGGAUAAAUGACUACGAAUUAGGUGCAGUGGAUACUGCUCGGGUGAUGGGUGCGCCAAAAUCUCACAAAUCACCACCAAAGAACUUACGUAAUCAAACCCCACCUGUUCCCCAAAAACCAAUGGAAAUGAAUUUUAAAAACAAAAACAAAAAGCAUCUCCUCAACAUUGUGUUCGAAGAGAGGCAGCUGCCAGGACCUCGCUGUUCCUCACCCUCGGAAGCCGUGCCUCUUCUCUGGGCCCUUGGUCUGGCAUCCCCGGCCAGUGCAGCCCCUUCAACCGUGGGGUAGGUGGCGGGCGGAGGGGCCAGCCUGGCUGCCUGGCAUCCCCAUGGUUCCUGUAAUAAAUAACAAGCCUAACUGA